GACGAACGCUGGCGGCGUGCUUAACACAUGCAAGUCGAACGGAAAGGCCCUUCGGGGUCCUCGAGUGGCGAACGGGUGAGUAACACGUGGGUGAUCUGCCCUGCACUUUGGGAUAAGCCUGGGAAACUGGGUCUAAUACCGGAUAGGACCACGGCAUUCAUGUGCUGUGGUGGAAAGCUUUUGCGGUGUGGGAUGGGCCCGCGGCCUAUCAGCUUGUUGGUGGGGUAAUGGCCUACCAAGGCGACGACGGGUAGCCGGCCUGAGAGGGUGACCGGCCACACUGGGACUGAGAUACGGCCCAGACUCCUACGGGAGGCAGCAGUGGGGAAUAUUGCACAAUGGGCGCAAGCCUGAUGCAGCGACGCCGCGUGAGGGAUGACGGCCUUCGGGUUGUAAACCUCUUUCGCCAGGGACGAAGCGCAAGUGACGGUACCUGGAGAAGAAGGACCGGCCAACUACGUG
rnacentral:rRNA from 1 species